rnacentral:RNase_P_RNA from 1 species
CGGGUCGGCCAGACGGUCGCGUCGCGCGCCGCGAGGCGCGUGCCGAGGAACGUCCGGGCUCCACAGAGCAGGGCGGUGGGUAACACCCACCCGGAGCAAUCCGCGAGAAAGUGCAACAGAGAGCAGACCGCCACGGCGCCUUCGGGCGCCGGGGUAAGGGUGAAACGGUGGUGUAAGAGACCACCAGGGGCCCGAGUGAUCGGGCUCGCUGGGUAAACCUCGCCCGGAGCAAGGUCAGACAGACACCGAUGAGGCUGCUCGCCGAGGUGUCGGGUAGACCGCUGGAGGGCUGCGGCAACGCAUCCCCGAGAGAGAUGGCCGUCCGGUCGACGCGAGUCGGCCGACAGAACCCGGCGUAUCGGCCGACCCGUUCA